CUCCACACAAGGUCAAAGAAUAGCUCCACCAUGGUUCCCAUAGUCCUCUCUUCCUGAGGAAAAACUUAGAAGAAGAGGCUAGUGGGACAAACUGUAGUCACAUCUCUGCAGUCAGUCUUAGAGUCAAAACUGGUACCCAUCCUUUGCCAUUUCUACUAUCCAUUCUGCAUCUCCCUCAUCCUCAGCCUUCACAUUGGCAGUCUCAACCUCUGGAGUCAGCCACUCAGCUGUCCGCGAUCACCGGGACCAGCCACCAUUUUUUAACUCCUUAUUACUGACCAAUCAUGAGCUCCCAGAUUCGUCAGAAUUACUCUACCGAGACGGAGGCCGCCGUCAACCGCCUGGUUAACCUGCAACUGCAGGCCUCCUACACUUACCUCUCUCUGGGCUUCUAUUUCCACCGCGACGAUGUGGCUCUGGAGGGUGUGGGUCACUUUUUUCACGAAUUGGCCAAGGAGAAGCGCCAGGGCGCGGAGCGUCUCUUGAAACUGCAAAACCAGCGUGGCGGCCGCGCCCUCUUCCUAGACGUGCAGGAGCCAUCUCAAGAUGAGUGGGGUAAAACCCAGGACGCUAUGGAAGCCGCCCUUCUCGUAGAGAAGAACCUGAAUCAAGCCCUGUUGGAUCUGCAUGGCCUGGCUUCUGCCCGCGGAGACACCCACAUCUGUGAUUUCCUGGAGAACCACUUCCUAGAUGAGGAAGUGAAACUCAUCAAGAAGAUGGGUGACCACCAGACCAACCUCCGCAGGCUGGCUGGUCCCCAGGCUGGGUUGGGCGAGUAUCUCUUCGAGAGGCUCACCCUCAAGCACGACUAGGAACUUCUGGAGACCAGUGGCCUUUGAAGAACCCACCUAACAUCAGGGCUGCCUGAAGCCCCUCUCUGCAGCCACUAGGCAGCUUUUUAACAUCCUGGAGCCCUCUCUCAAGCCUUGGACCAAAUGGAAACAAUAAAGCUUUAUGCAGCAUAAAAUAAAUAAA